AGAGUUUGAUCCUGGCUCAGAUUGAACGCUGGCGGCAUGCCUAACACAUGCAAGUCGAACGGCAGCACGGUCUAGUUUACUAGAUGGGUGGCGAGUGGCGGACGGGUGAGUAAUGCGCAGGAAUAUGCCUUAAAGAGGGGGAUAACUUGGGGAAACUCAAGCUAAUACCGCAUAAUCUCUGAGGAGAGAAGCUGGGGACCUUCGGGCCUGGCGCUUUAAGAUUAGCCUGCGUCCGAUUAGCUAGUUGGUAGGGUAAAGGCCUACCAAGGCGACGAUCGGUAGCUGGUCUGAGAGGAUGACCAGCCACACUGGAACUGAGACACGGUCCAGACUCCUACGGGAGGCAGCAGUGGGGAAUAUUGGACAAUGGGGGCAACCCUGAUCCAGCAAUGCCGCGUGUGUGAAGAAGG
rnacentral:rRNA from 1 species